UGAGUUGAAUGGUUAAAAGCGGA
rnacentral:siRNA from 1 species